CCCCUCUUUAUGUUCUUCCAGUCUCAUCUUCUGAAUGGUGUACAUAGAACCAUGGCUGUUGGCUGCUGAUCAGAAGAGGCAUGGAUGAAGAGAGGCUCAACCAUGUUCAACACCACAUAAUUGAUUCUAAGAAUUGCAGACUCUCCACCUCUCUACAGAACUUCAAAUGGGCUCUCAAGACACACUUCACAGUCUAGGAGAGAAGCAGCACAGCCAGGCCACAGCCAACACUGCCAAGAGAUGCAGAUGGUGGCAAUGCCGGUUCUUCUUCGGCAAAUCCACCUACACUAAGGCGCCCAUCACAGGGCUCGGUUACUGUGGCAACGAGGCCACCCAAGAGACGCCGUCUUGAGGCUCCAGCACCAGCAUCACCACCCCAACGGCGCAUCUCCGCAGUGUCGGCCGUGCCACCACUAGUUCUAUUGGCCAGCCCCCAAAAACCAGCCAUCAUGGCCGAGGAUGUCCAGCAGGAAAAUGACCAGCAGGAUACAUACACUCUUCACCUGCAACCCAUAGAUGAUACCCAGACAACCACGCCGCAUGACAUACCCCAAACAUCCCACAGGCCACAAUUGAGCACAACACCAGCCCAGACACAUAUGGACACUGAGUUUUGGAGGGGAUGGGCCAAACAACAGGAACUGAACUAUGCGUGCCUUAACAAACAAACCCAAUACCUGGCAAGUCUUCCCCAUCAUCUGCCUAGACUGGCUCGAAACUCUGGCAGACUUAUCGUUCAAGUGGGAAGAAUAGCCAAUUCAAUGGAACAGAUGAGGGCAGACAACUGCCAAAUGCAAGCAAAUCUCGUACGCAUCAUGGAUGAGCAACAGCGCCAACAACAAUCCCUAAUUCAGGUCAUCCAACACAACCAAAUUAUUAAUGAAAACAUGUCCCGAAUAAUAGCAAGCCACACUGCAGCUAAUACGCAACUCACUGCCAGCCUCAAUAUACUCAGCCAAAGCCUUAAUGUUUUGGCAUCACACCAAGUCAGCUCUAGCUCGGGGACAACUACACCAAACCAGACCCCAGUUCAAUUCCCAGUUAGACGCUCCAGUAGAACCAGGAGCAACGAGCCAGCACAAUCCUCGGCACCCAGCACACAACAAAGAAAAAAAUAAUGUGGCCUGCAGCUAAUUUUUUCAAUAUUAUAAUAUUAUGUUGAGUUGUUGUGGCAAAAAUGCCUUUGUUGUA